rnacentral:rRNA from 1 species
UACGUAGGGGGCAAGCGUUAUCCGGAUUUACUAGGUGUAAAGGGAGCGUAGACGGAAUUGCAAGUCUGAUGUGAAAAUCCGGGGCCCAACCCCGGAACUGCAUUGGAAACUGUAUUUCUAGAGUGUCGGAGAGGCAAGUGGAAUUCCUGGUGUAGCGGUGAAAUGCGUAGAUAUCAGGAGGAACACCAGUGGCGAAGGCGGCUUGCUGGACGAUGACUGACGUUGAGGCUCGAAAGCGUGGGGAGCAAACAGG